UACGUAGGUGACCAGCGUUGUCCGGAUUUACUGGGCGUAAAGAGCGCGCAGGCGGUCGUUCAAGUCGAGUGUGAAAGCCCCCGGCUCAACUGGGGAGGGUCAUUCGAUACUGAUCGACUGGAAGGCAGGAGAGGGAAGCGGAAUUCCCGGUGUAGUGGUGAAAUGCGUAGAUAUCGGGAGGAACACCAAUGGCGAAGGCAGCACUCUGGGACGGUACUGACGCUGAGACGCGAAAGCGUGGGGAGCAAACAGG
rnacentral:rRNA from 1 species